AAAUGUAUAUUUUAGUGAAUUUUCGUUGUAAAAUAGUACAAGACUUUAAUACGUAAACUUAAUAAUGACAUGCCUAGAUAAAGCUAUAUUCAAGGGCCUGGAUUAGGUCUAUAUAGCCUGAGCCCAGGGCCUAUAAAUGUAUAUAGAGCAUAUGAUAAGAGUCAGCAUAGUCAUAGAGGUUCGAGGGUGAACACUGAAAGGUUAGGAUCUAAACCAUGAGCAAGUUUUAUCCGGUGAUGAAUUAUCCACAGGGUGUUUCCACCAGUGAGUCCAAUUUUACAGGGUUUCAUACUCCAAAAUGGGAGUUCUGUAGUUAUGAGAAGUCAAACUCUAUCUUCUGGUCCAUUUUUUAUGCAAUCCUAAUUUUUUGGCUUUUGGCAGGUCUGUAUAUUGUUUGCCAAGAGUUCUUUACUUUGCCAAUGAUGUUGGUUUCACAAAAACUGAAAUCAUCUACAGCUGUGACAUAUAUGGCAGUUUUGACCAUUGCCAUGUCAGCUCCAGUGUUUGCUAUAACUGUAUCUUCAGUGUGUAUGGAUAGUCAACUAGGAAUUGGAGCGAUUUUGGGCACUGCGAUAUACAAAAAGUUGGUAAUUAUUCCCUUAGUUGGUGCAGUUGCUUCCAAGACUUUAGUGCUUGACUGGCGACCAUUUGUAAUUGAUGGGAUAUUUUAUGCUUCAUGUGUCCUUUUUGUCAACUUUAUUCUCUGGAAUGGAUAUCUUUGGUGGGUGGAAGGUUUUAUGUUAUUCUUGUGGUACUUCUUGUAUUUCUUCUUGAUUCUAACUUAUGAGGAGCUAAUGAGCCUGAUGUCUUUCUGUGGAAGGAAGAUCUGGAUCAACAGAAAUUAUGAAACCAAAGAUCCUUUUUGCAACAUACACCACAAUCAAACAGAUAAAUCUGUUGGUCAUAAAGAAAUCACAAAUAUACCUAACUGUAAGCUCUGGCAUUUACAUGAAGAAUUUAAUGAAGCAAAUGAUAUAACAGAAGAUCAAAACACCAUUCACAUUUGUUAUGAGAAAGCUUUAAAGAAUAAUGACAAACAACCAAAAAACCUUUUAACAGAAUUGGCUGCUAGAAAUGAUCAGUCUAAAAUGGUGAACAGUAUGCCAUUAAUUACAACACCCCCACCAUUUACCAAGACACAGAUGAAUAACACUAUUAUAGAUGGAAAUAUUCAACCCCAAACAAAUUAUUUUCCAUUAGGAGACAACAAAGCUCUUGAUGUUCUGACUUCUAACAAGCCAGUACUAACAACUACCAACUCUCACAUUUCAACAGUGAAUAUGAUUCCUACUUAUAACAGACCAGUGAUGACCACAACUGUUUCUAACAAUUCAGCAGUAAAUGUGAUCCCAACUACAAAGAGGUAUAUGGACAAUGUCAUGAGUUAUCACAUUCCCACAGUACCUGAGAUCCCAGUUUCUAAAGAGCCAGCUAUUUACUCUUGUAACCAAACAACUAAUAUGCUCCAAACUCCAAUCAGCUUGAAAAGUCUUACUUCAGGUGAAGACUUACCUUCUGAUAAAUCAUUAACAUCAAUCAUGAGCAGUGGCUUUUCAACAGGAAGCAGUACUUCUAAUUGUAACAACAUUGUGACAACUACUAUUAGUUCUCAUGGAGAAACAGGAGUCAUAUAUCCCAGCACUCUUGGUUUAGUAGAAGUCAUAUCAGAUGUGAGUCUUAAUCACAUUGUUGAAGAAGAGCAACCCAGACAAAAAGACCAAGAAGUUUUAGAAAUUAAAAACGAGUAUGUUCCAUCUUAUAUGGGACAAGAUUAUAAAAGAUCCCUUUCACAAAAUGGUUCAAUUGAAAAUGGUUAUUUGGAUAAUUCAAGAGAAACAGAGAACACUGACAGUAUUAAGUAUCAGAAGCAAGAUACCCAGUCUACUGGAUAUUACAGAAAUCUGCUGAGAUACCUUCUUGACAAAGAUCUGAAACUUACAGAAGAUCAGGUCUCUUUUCAUCAGAUUUGACACCUCACCACAUCCCUGGCUGUUCAUUUCCGUUGCAGGAGAUCAUCCAGGCUAGCAUGUGGACCAUACCACACACUUUUGUCACCCAUUAUCAUUUGGCCAUCUUCUCCUCAACUAGAUACCGUCUGCCUCCUCUCACCAUCUUGCAUUCCAUAGUUCGACUAUGAGUGGGAAGUGGUUUUACCUUUCUCUACUGAUCUGCCUUGUAUGGAUAUCUGCUACCAGUUUU
rnacentral:misc_RNA from 1 species